rnacentral:lncRNA from 1 species
CUUCUCUUCUACUCCUCCUCCUCCCGCUCUUCUAGAUCUGAGCUCUUCUCCUCUUCUAGAUUUGAGGGAUGCGCAGUGGCUAAGUUCCAACGAGCUCUAGGGUCAUAUUCUCUCCUCAAUUCGACUCCUCCCUCAGGUGAGCUCGAAGGUGAUGGGGCCAGGGGUUGGAGCAGGCUGCACCUCGGACUCAUACCCUUGCUGUUUGUACAUCCUUUUUCUGCUAUUUCGUCUUGUUGCAAUGUGUUUGUUGGGUUGUUGCAAUAGAUGAUAUCCGAUUGUUGUAGUAGGAUUUUUGAGUUGUUGCAACUGAUGAUUUUCGAGAGUUUCCAUUACCCUAUUUUAUGGUUGAUUUUGUGUU